rnacentral:rRNA from 1 species
UACGGGGGGGGUAAGCGUUGUUCGGAAUUACUGGGCGUAAAGGGCUCGUAGGCGGCCAACUAAGUCAGACGUGAAAUCCCUCAGCUUAACUGGGGAACUGCGUCUGAUACUGGAUGGCUUGGAUUCGGGAGAGGAAUGCGGAAUUCCAGGUGUAGCGGUGAAAUGCGUAGAUAUCUGGAGGAAUACCGGUGGCGAAGGCGGCAUCCUGGACCAUUACUGACGCUGAGGCGCGAAAGCUAGGGGAGCAAACGGG